rnacentral:rRNA from 1 species
UACGGGGGGGGGCAAGCGUUGUUCGGAAUUACUGGGCGUAAAGGGCUCGUAGGCGGCCAACUAAGUCGGAUGUGAAAUCCCCAAGCUUAACUCCGAAACUGCAUUCGAUACUGCCGUGCUUGAGGACUGGAGAGGAGACUGGAAUUUACGGUGUAGCGGUGAAAUGCGUAGAUAUCGUAAGGAAGACCAGUGGCGAAGGCGGGUCUCUGGACAGUUCCUGACGCUGAGGCACGAAGGCCAGGGGAGCAAACGGG